UUUAAUAUCUGUUUUAAAAUAAAUUUAACAGUGGGACACGCUUUUGUCAUUAAUUAUAGAAGCGAACAAACAAGAAAACCUUCUACUAUCYAAAUAUCAUGGGCAAUGAAAUCUGUUGUUUUUCCAGUGUAGGAGAACUUAGAACUUGCAUAUUUAUUGUGAUUCUCCAUGGAAACAUUCCACUCCUUUUACAGUCACUCUAAUCACUUCCAUUAAUUUAGUGGUCUGUCGUUGGGGAAGGGGAAAUGCAUAGUAGACAAGUCUGGGGAAAAAAGAAAAUCCCCUACCUGUUAAAAUUAGCUACUGUUGUUUAUUGAUAUCCCGCAAGAGUACUAUUUUGCUGAAAUUAGUUUAGUUUACUCCUUUGAGUAUAUUCAUAUUUGAGGUGUAAAUCUGAGUUAUCUUUUAAGCUUGCAGUUACCUGAAUACCAGUAGUUUAUAAGCAGCAGUCUCCUAGAAAACAUGACCUCAGCAUAGGCACUACUGCCAUGAAUGUCCUUGUCAGAAAUUACUUUCUGAAUCAGCUCCUUUAACAACACUUAGAUACCAUGUGUGUCUACUAACUCUUUGUUGUUGAAUGUUAAUAUAAUUUAGUCUUUUAAAAAUAAAGAGUAGGGAACCUGUUUGGCAUUUGGGUGUUCUUUUAAAUCUAGAUAUUAUUACAUUUUGUUAUGCUUGUAAAACAUUUUACUUGGAAUCUCUGUUCAGAAUUUAAAUAACUGUCAUCUUGCUGCUUGGUUGUAUUCAGUACAAUGAAAUUUUUUAAUGACAUGAAAUGAUGAUUCUAACAGCUGUUGAGAAAUUGGAAUGACUCCAGCCAAGGGCCACCGACAUGGCAAGGGGCGGCAGACAUGAAGUAUGAGGAGAGGCUUGAAGAACUGUAUUUGUUUAGCCUCCAGAAGGGAAGGUGAAAAGGAGAUCUUACUGCUGUCUUAAGCUAUUUAAUGUGUAUUUAUAGAGAAGACGGACAUUCUUCUGUGAAGUGCAGAGUGAAAGUGUAAGGGUCAGAGGGUACAAAUCCUCACGGAAAAUUCUUUUAGGAUGUUAGGGAAAAAAAAUCACAAUGGGGAGGCAAGAACUGAAACAGGUCAUCCAGAGAGGCUUUUCAAUCUCCAUUCUUGGAAAUAGGCAAGCUUCGGCUUGGGCAAGGCCCUGAGCAACUUGAUCCAAUAUUGAUGUUAGCCUUGCUUUGUAAGAAAAACAUUGGACCAAAUGACCUGAUGAGAUCCCUUUUGAUCUGAAUUAUUCCAUGAUUCUCUAAAUCUAAGCAGCAUCUGGCUUUUUUUAAAUGAGUUUCAAGAUAAACUGGAUAUACAUGUUUAAUUAUUCAUAGUAAGCA